AAAAAUGUGACUUUCUGACCCCUAGUUCUGGAAAUGCUACCUAGUGUUCUGCCUUGGUCUUCUGCCACUGUGAAUUGUUAGCCACGAGAAGGUGCUGGAUGUCCCUGCAUAGCCUGAACGUGCUCCCCAGGAGACUAGAGCCCUUGCCUACCAUUGCAGUGAAUUCCUCAAGGGACUGGGAAGGAAGGGAAACAGGUGAAUAUUUCUUCAAUGUCAACUCAAGCAAAAUUGGGAGCAAGUGAUACACACCCAUUUAAAAACCAAGCUGAGAAUGGAGUUUUACCUCUUCCCAAAAUAUCAAACAGAGGAAAUUAGAAAGGAGACUCUUCUGACAGAACUUACCCCUGAGAGUGAUGUCGAUGAGCUACAGGAGAAGCUGGCAGCUUUCCCCACAGAGUUGGACACACACAGGCUCAGGACUCAGAAGUGAAGAAAGAUUCCGUGGGGUUGGAAGAGCUGCAGGCCUGGAUGAAGUCCCCAGAAACAAGUGACCGUGGAAACAUCCUGCUGAGAUGGAGAAACUGUGACUCGCUCUGUCUGCAUCCCUGAGCUUUCACCUGGAAAAGGCACUGACCUUGUGUGUCGAAGUCUGCAGACUUUCAUUUUGGAGAUAUAUUUCACUCUGAAUAGUGAAUCAGAGUGGGGUGAAACAUCUGGCUUAUAAAAUGUUUCAAACCUCAAACCACUUUAGAUACUUGGAAAUCAUCUUCUCCACACAUUUAUUAUAAAACAGGAAGAGACCCAGAAAAAAUGCCACUCUGUUUUGAAGAUGGAAAGUAAGUGUCAUUGAUGUAAAAUUCUUGGAUUUCUUUUGUGUAGUUGUAGACUGUGAUUGCCAGUAUAUGGUCCACAAAGUUGUUGGUCAUUUUGUAAAUUUAAAAUUUGCCAGUUAGGCCUAAAAAUCAUCUCCCACAUGUGAUGGCAAGCCUAGAGGUGGUCGGCCCAUGCUUGCCCCUUUUGUCUCUCUGCUCAGCCAGCUUAGUCUGUGCUGUCCACCCCCAUGC
rnacentral:lncRNA from 10 species